UUCACUGCCACUUUGACUAUUUGGUGUACAACUGUGGGCAUGAAUCCCACCCUGCUUUUGCUUUAUUUCUCUGGCACACCUGCUUUCUGGUGUCUGUUGGAAAGAGCAACCUGGCUGUAAAAUCAUACACUGAGCACUGGUGCUUUGUUGUUAUACAGCACUGACUGCAGCUUCUCCAUGCUGGUUCAACAAAGAAAAGCUCUAAUUCCAAAGUGGGCUGGACCAAAAAAUCCCUAAGAGGUAAGUAACCAUGACCAACUGAUUCUUUUUGGUAUCCAAAAUUUCAUUUCUUCAGGCUCCUGACCUGAUUUGAACUGUGUUUUCUCUCUGUGUUAAAAUACCCCAAACAAGUACUGGAGCUCCAAUUCUGGAAUGGCAGAGGGAGGAGAGUCUCAGACCUGCUCUGCAGUGAAGUAGCCAUGACUGGUGAAACUCUGUUUUCAAAGAACAACUAUUUAAUGUCUCUGGGGAGUAUCCUGAGGAGAUGGAGCAAGUGAAACAACAACAACUACAAUAACAUUUAUUUAAGGAGAGUCACAACAUGUCAGCAAGAAUGGUCUUGGAGAACAUAUAUGGGAGUAAAAAUGAACACCGGAAAAGCUUUAGUAAGUGAGCCCCACGUGCCAUUUCUGAAGAUCAUCCGCAGCAAGAAGGAAACAACUCCCAAGGAAGAAGUUGGUAGACCUUCACCAGCUUUCUAAUGCCCUGGUCCUCUGGGAGUUGCUGAAACAACUAAGGGGGUCUCACCAACUACCAUCAAAUGAGUCAUGGCUAAACUGUCAUGGACUUGAAGAGAAGUGGUCUUCAGAUAUGAAGGGCAAGUGCAAGGAGACAGCAUGAAUGCAGUCCCUUUUUCUUAUUCAAAUCUGAUUUUUUCAAAUGUGAGAAAACCCAGUUUCAUGGUAUAAAAGCUGUAUACUCAUUUAUUUCUUGAAGACAAGCAUUUGCACAUCUUCCCCCUCCACCGACUGUAUCAUUGACCAGUCCAGACUGUCAGUUGCUGGCUGGGUUCUAGGCAGAAUGUUGGGGUUUUGUUGUGGCUGAUGGAUCCAUGGUAACGGGACAGAGCCCUGCUGAGGGUGAGUACUGUGAGGGGCUGAAGUCUUCUGCAGAGCUUGGCUUAGGGACUUAUCCUUGAGAAACUAGGCGAGGUGAUGAUGGAGGGGCUUCCCAAUGGUUUGAGUCUGUGACAGCAGCCAGUGGUGUAUCCAUUUGUCAUCACCUUACUACCAGACCUGUUAUUUCUGUUUGGUCUUUUAGAAGUUGAUUUUAUGUGAGACAUGACAAACAACUCUCAGGAAUUCUGACUGUACAGAUUAGGAAGAAAUGCUAACUUGUGGACAAGCUUAAAAAGGUGUACACAGGUAUUGAAUUAUAAUUAAAAAAUUCUGGGAUAGAGAAUCUUACACUAUAUGACUGACCUAGAAAGUUCCAGAGAUAUGAAAAAGGCUGAUGCAAUGUUAAUGGAGGAAUUAACUUCUUUGGUUCAAGAACUGAGAUCCAAAUACUUAAAACUGGAGGAGAUAGGGAGAUGCAAAAAAAAAAAUGACUGAGUCUCCAGAAGAGCCUGUUAGACUCAGUGCUUCACAAGGAGCCUUUCAAAUCUUCCAACACGCCAAGAACCAGCAUGAUCCCUUCUCCAGUCCAGGAAUGAGUGACCAUCUUAAAGCAGUGCUGCAACCUCCCCUCCAUUCAUGUCUUCUAAGCUGUCAAACCUGUGUUCACUCACCUGGACCUAUGAGUAUCCUGAAAACCUAUGGAUUCUAGGAGUCCUCCCCCCCAGCCCCGGGAUACAAUUCCUUCCUCAUUUGCUGGACAAUACAGUUCCUUUAUGUCCAGUUCCUCCUAAUCUAAAAUAUUAUUGGACUUCUUGAAGAAGAUCAAGAAAUUGGGACUUUCUCUUCACAUCAAAUUUGGAUUAUUGUUUCCUAGUUAUGAAAAAGCAGCUGUACUUACUCAAAUUGAAUUUUCAUCAAACUGCAUUUUAAAAGAUAUUUUGUGAAUAUCAUUUCUGUAUUAAUCUUGUAAGUAAACUUAUAAAUUGAGAAUAUUUACAGUUUAAUCAUAACUUUGAGUUGUCAAUAGCAAUAUUUUUUAGAGUCAUAAAAUAUAGUUAUUAAAGGGC